rnacentral:rRNA from 1 species
UACGUAGGUGGCAAGCGUUGUCCGGAUUUACUGGGUGUAAAGGGCGUGCAGCCGGGCUGACAAGUCAGAUGUGAAAUCCCGCGGCUCAACCGCGGAACUGCAUUUGAAACUGUCAGUCUUGAGUACCGGAGAGGUCAUCGGAAUUCCUUGUGUAGCGGUGAAAUGCGUAGAUAUUAGGAGGAACACCAGUGGCGAAGGCGGCUUGCUGGACGAUGACUGACGUUGAGGCUCGAAAGCGUGGGGAGCAAACAGG